rnacentral:tRNA from 2 species
GCCCCAGUAGCCCAAUGGCAGAGGCAGGAGACUUAAAAUCUUCUCAGUGCAGGUUCGAGUCCUGUCUGGGGCA